rnacentral:SRP_RNA from 1 species
GCCGAGUUGGGUAACUCCUGCUUGUAACUCAAGUGAGGGCGUCAAUGUGGUGGAACAUUUCUCGGAGAUUAUUGGGUGGGGCUAUGUUUGCUGCAAAUGCUGGCUUGCCCUCCCCAAGUUUAGAGAUGAUCAAUGGGGCCUUGGCGAAGGCCCAGUCUUGUUGGUCCUAGACAUUGUAUACGCGUGAAGCUGGCUUAACAGAGCAGCGAAAACUAUUUGACUCCUAACAGUGGACGGAUAACAGGCCGGUGCACUUCUGGCCCAAUACCUAAUAAUGCCUCUAGCAAAUGAACCACCACCAUUU